UACGGAGGAUGCAAGCGUUAUCCGGAAUGAUUGGGCGUAAAGCGUCCGCAGGUGGCUGUGUAAGUCUGCUGUUAAAUAGUGAGGCUCAACCUCAUAAAGGCAGUGGAAACUACACGGCUAGAGUGCGUUCGGGGCAGAGGGAAUUCCUGGUGUAGCGGUGAAAUGCGUAGAGAUCAGGAAGAACACCGGUGGCGAAAGCGCUCUGCUAGGCCGCAACUGACACUGAGGAGCGAAAGCGUGGGUAGCAAACAGG
rnacentral:rRNA from 1 species